rnacentral:rRNA from 1 species
UCCUACGGGAGGCAGCAGGAGGGAAUAUUGCGCAAUGGGCGAAAGCCUGACGCAGCGACGCCGCGUGGGGGAAGAAGGCCUUCGGGUCGUAAACCCCUCUCAGCAGGGACGAAAUUGACGGUACCUGCAGAAGAAGCGCCGGCCAACUACGUGCCAGCAGCCGCGGUAAUACGUAGGGCGCAAGCGUUGUCCGGAUUCAUUGGGCGUAAAGGGCUCGUAGGCGGUUUGGUAAGUCGGGUGUGAAAACUCAGGGCUCAACUCUGGGACGCCACUCGAUACUGCCAUGACUAGAGUCCGGUAGGGGAGUGUAGAAUUCCUGGUGUAGCGGUGAAAUGCGCAGAUAUCAGGAGGAAUACCGAUAGCGAAGGCAGCACUCUGGGCCGGUACUGACGCUGAGGAGCGAAAGCGUGGGGAGCAAACAGGAUUAGAUACCCUGGUAGUCCACGCCGUAAACGUUGGGCACUAGGUGUGGGUCCCAUCCAACGGGAUCCGUGCCGUAGCUAACGCAUUAAGUGCCCCGCCUGGGGAGUACGGCCGCAAGGCUAAAACUCAAAGGAAUUGACGGGGA